UGGGGAAUAUUGGACAAUGGGCGAAAGCCUGAUCCAGCCAUGCCGCGUGAGUGAUGAAGGCCCUAGGGUUGUAAAGCUAUUUCACCGGUGAAGAUAAUGACGGUAACCGGAGAAGAAGCCCCGGCUAACUUCGUGCCAGCAGCCGCGGUAAUACGAAGGGGGCUAGCGUUGUUCGGAAUUACUGGGCGUAAAGCGCACGUAGGCGGAUAUUUAAGUCAGGGGUGAAAUCCCGGGGCUCAACCCCGGAACUGCCUUUGAUACUGGGUAUCUCGAGUCCGAGAGAGGUGAGUGGAAUUCCGAGUGUAGAGGUGAAAUUCGUAGAUAUUCGGAGGAACACCAGUGGAGAAGGCGGCUCACUGGCUCGGUACUGACGCUGAGGUGCGAAAGCGUGGGGAGCAAACAGG
rnacentral:rRNA from 1 species